rnacentral:rRNA from 1 species
AAUGUGUACGAUGGUUGUCAAAGUUGGGAGAUAGCUUUUAUUAUCCAAGCCUAUUGCUCCACAGACCUUGUUAAUGAGUUUGGUCCAACACUUAAAAAAGCCAAUGGGUUCUUGAAAAGUUCACAGGUUCUUGAGAACCACCCCGACAGUGAAGCUUAUUACCGCCAUAGGUCGAAAGGUUCAUGGACACUUUCAACAGCAGAUAAUGGUUGGAAUGUAUCAGAUUGCACUACAGAAGCACUUAAGGCAUUAUUGCUAUUGUCAAAUAUCUCUCCUAAUCUUGUGGGGGAUCCCAGAACAGAAGAAAGGUUGUAUGAUGCAGUGGAUUGCUUACUUUCUUUCAAGGUAUAA